rnacentral:lncRNA from 12 species
AAUGAAUCGGAAUAAAAGAAUUGUUUUAAAAGGAAAGGAUGACGUGAAGGCUCUGAAAUGACCAACUCUUAACCGCUUAUCUGGACUCCUGUGAGUGAGUGCUCUGCAAGGCGCUGGGAGACAGACUACAGGCCCAUCUCCUGGAAACCCUGCUCUACUUUUCCCCUAUGACCAUGUUAGAAGACUGAAUCGAAUUUGUGUUGCAUCGCAAUCUAAAAAACUUGAAAUCCUUACAAAGACACCGAUAACAAUCAUGGCAGAGGAAGACAUUGAUGAUAAUCAUGGCAGAGGAAUCCCUCAUGAUCCGCACGGUAUCCUGACAUUCGCUGCAUUGUGUUUGAAAGCGCAGACGGAGAGGAGCAGUUCCCUGCCCUUUCGAUACUGAAUCCCUGGAGUCAAGUGUCAGGCUUGGCACUGAUCAAGAAUCCAGCAAACGUGUACCACAAACAAAUGGAAGUUGAAUUAAUUAUGAUGCCCUUGAAAGGUGCCAGGUAAGAAAUGCCUCAAAUGUGAAAAAUGCAGUCCCUGAAACCAGAAGUCUAUGAUGAAUUUUCCCAAAGACAGAGAGCAAAUCAAGGACCGUAAUUUAGCUAUUCCGCUUUCUAUUAGCCUGGCCUAUGAAUCACAGAAAUAGACCCGUUUCGCCUGUUACUUUAAAAUCAAAAAGGCUUAAUCCUUCACCGAUAGCUAUUGCUGAAAAAUAAUUCAUUGGCUUCCAUUGCCAAUUGCACCAGAAUAUCGAC